AAUUUCCUCGACCUUCCCUCAGAGGUUAGACCUGCUGAACUUCUCGUUUCUAUUUUUUUCCUUCCAUAUUUCUCUCACUUUUGUAUGUCUGUCUUAAAAGGUGAAACUCAGGAUUGCAUCCAUGCCCUAGCUGAAUGCUCAAAAAUCCCAGGAAAAACAACACAGUGUCCCUCCCUCAUGUUAGAUGAAAAAUUCCAUUGAAGACAUCCCAAACUAAAAUUAGCUCACCCCACCCCCCCCAUUUUGUUAACAGCACUGCAUUUUGUCCACAUAUUCCCCAUAUUCAGAUCUGGUUUUGCUGACCAGCUGCCAGACCAAAUAUUCUCUAUUAUCUGAGAGUUUGCUUUGCUGCACUUACCUGUGUAAGGCUUGACUCCAGUUCUCUGCUUUAAAAUCAUGUUGAGCUCAGUAGUAUAACCAAAAUUACUGAUGACAGAAGACAAUUUAAUAGGUUUUGCAAUUUCCUUUGGGGAAGGUGAUAAAAAAAUAUUAGCAGAGACAACAGCAUUUGAAAGUGCUUAGGGAUAAACAAAUGGCUGAUCAGGGUGGAAAAGACACAAGGGGAAACUGCAUCAACAGGUCUGUCAGUGAACAGGGGCUAAGAUGGAGGAGAUAUUAAACAAGCUUCUCUUUGGUGUAGGAUCAGAGCAGAAUGAGGAAAAAACCACAUGGAGUCCCCCAGCCUGCUGAACAGGGGGAACCAAGUGUGGAUCUCAGCAAAAGGGGCAGGCACAGCACUGAUGAGGAAAUGGCAGAUCUGAACAAAGAGAAGGUCUCUAAGCACAUGAUAUGAAAUGAGAUUGUUGUUGUAUGCAACAAUCUGGUCACUGGGCACACAGGUAAAGAAAAAAGAGUGUGAAGGAGCUGAGCUAACACAGAGAGACAGCCCAGGAAUGCAUCCCAGCUGUGCAGAGGGUGCUGCCCACCCCUCAUCAGGGAGGGCACUGAGCACAGGGAUGAGCAGCUCCCCAGACACAGACUGUGCCAAUCAGGGAUAUGGCAAUUACAAGUUAAAUGCAUCCCCACUCACUGGUUUUGCUUUCACCCAUGUGCUUACAGUAAGACUGAUGCUGUAAAAGGCACCUGCACUUAGAUUAAUAACUCUUGUACUGAAAGAAGUACAACCUCCCGAUGAUUAUCUGAGAAUCCUUCCAAAGAUGACAAACACAUGCUUUUGACCUGUAAGGUUUGCUGAGAGACACUCUGCAGAGCAGCAGCUCUCCAUAAACAGGCUUUUCAUUGCAGCUAUACUGCAGGACAACUGGAGAAGAGAAUAUGGAAACAACCAGGGGCUCCUAAGGGCACUGCAACUGUUAUGUAAAAGAAAAACUGUAAAUAGAUUUCCUUGCUGCAGCACACUUUUAGAGGCAGGGAUGUGUACUGAGGUAGAAAACUAUUUGUCUCUGCCUGCAAGAGCUCUGUAUUAUUUUUCUCCUCUAUGCCAGGGUGGUGAUCUCUUGGAUACAGACUUAAAGAAAGCACUUUCUAUGGAAACAGACUGUGUGAGUCUAAAAAAUUCUUAGUGUCAUAUUAUUGAUCUUAUAAAGGACAAAGAGAAAUUGAUUAUUUUUUAGAAAGACUCUCAAUUCUUAUUCAUCAGAAGUGCAUGCAUGUAUAGGUGCCUCUCUAUAUAAACAUGCAUACUCAUACAGAGUGCAUGUAAUUUUUAAAUUAAUCUUACAUUUUCUGUGUUUAGCUUAAUUUCUCAGCACAUAUAUUUCAUGUUGUGACUACAACUGAAAAGAAAAACACAUUCUUCUGCACAAGAAUUUACAUCAAGUAAAUUACAAGAAUUUACAUUUUGGCUAGCAAAAAUCCCGUCAAAAAUCUCUACCAUCAUGUAAAGUGACAUGCAAAUAAUUUGCCUUUUUUUUUCAGAAUUGGACUGAUUUAGUCUGCUAAUCAUAAUUAUAUUAUGAGCCCUUUUUAGGUCUUGGCAAUGCUCAUGAUCCAUCUUCAGCCCAAGCCAUUGUGCCAGCUCUUUGCAAAAAGGAAACUCUCUAAAAGCUGAUCCUGUUACUGUAAAUGCACUUCAGUACACAAUUAAAAUAGAACUUCAUCUCACACAACCACUUUCUUGAGGUCAGAUGUCAUGCAGUCUAACACAAUUUUAAUACAGCACAAGGAAUAGAUACCACUGUAAAGGUGCAGCCGAUUUCCCUGAGCCCUCCCAUCCUGCUGGGCAUGGCAAGGCAGCAGGACUGGUGCAGCUGUGUUUUGUGGAAGAUCUCACAGGAGCGGCUGCCUCCGAGACACAGGACUCAAAUUCUGAGUGUUCAAGCUUGCAUUUUCCCCCUGGGAGAGAGAAGGGUAAACAUUAACUGGUUUUCAUCAUCAAGUGCAGUGUAAUAAUGAUACCAGGCACUUUCUCAGACUCUUCUAUUCACUGGAAUUUGGUCUAAAUUAAAUGUUUCUGGCAGCAGGCAUGCUCCAACAGCAUUCUGAAAAAACAAACUCUGGAUGGGAACCUGAGCCCAAGCAUUUCUCCCUCCACAGUGCCUGGCACAUGAUGUUACUGUUCUAUGCCAAAUUCUGUCCUUCUUAAUUAUGUUUUGAUUUCCAAACGUUUUCUCCGCUGGACACCGCUGUGCUCCCCAUCUCAGGAGGCUCUGUAAUGUCACACCUUGUAUUCCUUCCCGAAUCAGCCACCUCCAAAAGUUACACACACACUGGGCUACAGUAAAGCUAAGAACUACAGAGAUGUGAAAUACAAUUAUUCUGUAGAAUUUUGAGUUUGGAAGGGGAGUCAGAACAAACCAAAAAACCCAAUCAGGCACAUUUGAGUGGCAUAUCAUAGAUUAAAUAAACCAAGAUUAAACACACACACACUGAAUCUGCAUAAUCUGCAUGUAUCUGUAUCUCAGCACAGGAUUGCCAAGGUUAUUUUGCUCAUUGCACAGAAGAGUCAAAUAGACCCUUAAGAAGUAAAUUUGAUGCAUUAAAUUUGGUUAUAGUAAAAGGAUUAAUCUGUGCAAUCCCUGCUGAUCAUUAAAUCCAAUUUAUCACAGCAGAUACAAAUCUAUGAAAAUAUUAGUUUUCCAAAGGAAAUGUGAUUUUUCAUAAGAAAAAUCCCUGCCUUGUGAUGACAGAGCACACAUUUCUAGACAUUACGAAGUUCUCAGAUCAUUUUGAUCAAAGCAGGUCAAUAAUUGACUCUAACCAGCACUCCUUUGAACUGCUAGGUAUUUUUUCUGCAUCUAAGUGAGUCUUGAGGUAAAUGGUUUUUUUUUUUCCUUCAUGUGAAAAAACCCUCACCCCAAGAGGGUUCUUCACUUCCAUUCA
ensembl:lncRNA